CGCCCGUCUGAGGGUCGGCGAGUUU
rnacentral:rRNA from 1 species